rnacentral:tRNA from 1 species
UUAGUUAAAGCCAAAAAGCGGCAUGUUGCUGUUAACAUCAAAAUUGAAUUUUAAUUCUAACUAUU